rnacentral:rRNA from 1 species
AGAAAAGCAGGGGAUCGCAAGACCUUGCGCUUUUGGAGCGGCCGAUGUCCGAUUAGCUAGUUGGUGAGGUAAAGGCUUACCAAGGCUUCGAUCAGUAGCUGGUCUGAGAGGACGACCAGCCACACUGGGACUGAGACACGGCCCAGACUCCUACGGGAGGCAGCAGUGGGGAAUUUUGGACAAUGGGGGAAACCCUGAUCCAGCCAUGCCGCGUGAGUGAAGAAGGCCUUCGGGUUGUAAAGCUCUUUCAGCCGGAACGAAAAGGUUACGGUUAAUACCCGUGACUAAUGACGGUACCGGAAGAAGAAGCACCGGCUAACUACGUGCCAGCAGCCGCGGUAAUACGUAGGGUGCGAGCGUUAAUCGGAAUUACUGGGCGUAAAGCGUGCGCAGGCGGUUUUGUAAGUCAGAUGUGAAAUCCCCGGGCUCAACCUGGGAACUGCGUUUGAAACUACAAAGCU